UAGAUCUGUUUUGCCAGGCAGACCCACUGCUGCAGCCAGCUGCAAGAGAAGCAGAGCUAGGAGAAGGGGGUUGCUGGGCUGCCCCCAGUGGUGCCAUCUC